AAUUAUUAUCGUUCUGUAUGUGUUUCAAAAUGUCUUUUAAAUUACAGACAACAAAUAUGAAAGACUAAGUGCAAUGUUGCAUCAAAUUUCAUUUCUGUCCAAGUUAAGAAUGAUAUGGUUCAUCGAAAACUGCACGAACAAACAUAAACAAUGGCGUAACAGUUCCGUUCAUCAGAUUUUCUUCCCCUUCAACUGCCUCGUGAAUUAUGAGAAACAUAAGGGAGUCAAGGCCUUGUCCGGCCAAUUGCUCCUCGGCGAAUGACAAACUACGAUUCACGUAAUCGACAAACUCAGAUUGAUUUUGAAUUUGUAAACUUUCAUUGCAACGGACAGUUGACAUUGUGCUGUGGAGGAAACAAUUUGUAUCACUCUUGCUACAGAUAUAAUUUGUAAUCUGGAAUUUUUGGGAAGAGGAUUCUGAAGAAGGUGCCAUUUCGACAUCGAGACAUGCUUCCCAAAACCAGAAUGUAGAAGCUGUUAUUCUAGCAGAAAGAGAAAGGCGUGAUAAAUUGAAAUCUGAAGCAGAGAAAAAGAAAGCCGUGGAGAAAGUAAAUCGUGAAAAGCAGCGACAGAAGCAGGAAGAGCGAAGAGAGAAGGAGCGGAAGAGAACACAGAAACGAGAGCAUAGGCGAUGAGUGUUAGUUGAUGAAUAUACUCUUUUUAUGCAGAUAUAAGUUAUGAACUUUUGUGUAUUUCAGCUGAAACAGUUCUAAUGAAUACUCAGUUGGAGUAUGUUUUAUGUAUGAGCUGUGUGAAAAUUGAAGUUGUGAAAUUUUUUAUAUAUUAUAUGUGUUUAAUACAUAUGCAUUCUGAAAAAGAUUGUAUUCAUUUCUUCAGUUAUACUGAUUAACUUGCACAGAAUACUUUAACAAGUAUAUAACAUUUGAAAAUAACAGGCUGCUAUUUGUAUUUCUUAGUUAAAACUAAUUUGUAUAUAAAUGUCUGAAAAUUUUCCUUAUUUCUUCGUCUAUAUAUAUAAUGCACAUAAGAAUAGUUUCUUGGGUGAUAGACAAGGUUUAUGUGUGUAAUGGGCAUAUAUAUACUCAUAUCCAGGUUAUUUUUAAAAGAUGGCUAUAGCUUUUCUUUAAUACUGAUCGUAGACUUGUGCAUCCAAUUCCUCCCCCCAGUUAAAGGUAGAGAUCUUCAUGCAAAACUGAGAUUGGGGGGGGGUCUGUAAAAACAGUGGUACCUCAGUACGCGUCCAGUAUGUCCUUAGCAUAAGCCUUGUUUGGAUGGGAAAAUUUUUGGGUAUAUGAACAAAGAGAUUGUUCAAAACUGGGAAGAUGACAUGCAUAUCUGGGGCUUGGCUGUUGCAUAUUGUAUGCCAAGUAUGAUAGUGUACAUGGUUGUGAAAACAAAGAUGCUAUUAAAUUGGCUAAAAUUGUGAAGAGGAUGAACUCAAUUACAAAACGAAAAUCAAAGGCAUUAAAGUAUGUUAAAUAAUUGCUUUUGUUCUGUAUAGCAGGAAAACAAUGUACGGUAUUAUGUGCUUCAUUUAUGUACAGCAUGUAUUUCACUCACUGCAUUUAUAUUUUAUUAUUCAACAAUAUUAAAAUAAUAACAAUGGUGUUUUUUAUAAAAAAAAGAUUAAUUACUUUCCCUUUACUUCUAAUUGGUAAAGUUAAUUUAGUAUAGGUUCAAGGAUCUGGAUUAAUAAUGUUAUGCUAAGGUACCACUGUAUGAUGUUUAUGAGCCCUUUCUAAAACAAAAUUUCCUAUUAGUAAAAUAUUCAUUGUGUGUUAAUAAGUUAAAUGAAAUAUAUAUAUAUAUAUAUACAGAAUUCACCAAGCUAUUUGAGAAUGAAUUUUUUGACUGUUUUUAACACUUGUCUUCAGUUGAAAUUCCGCAUCCUUAAAGCAAAUUUAGGAAAGAACUAUGAAACAGAAUUCUGCAUUGGAUGAAACAGCAUUCAAUUUUAAAUAUUGCUGACCCAAUGAAACGAAAUUGUUCAUAGCUAUGUGUUUUGCGCAUAAAAUUAUGGGAAUUUUUGUAUAUUUAGAUGCAGUAUGUUUGAAUUAAGAUCGCAUGAUUAAGUAUCUGAAACAGUUGGUCAUAGACUAAGGAUUCCAGUUUAGGAAAUGAAUUGGAUAAGUUAGGCUUUCAGACUAUGUCAGUUUUUAUCAGUAUUUUAUUUAAAUAUAGAAAAUUAAAAUUUUUGUACAAUCUUUGAGAAAGAAAAUUUCAUUUAGUAGGUUGUUGUUAUGUUAUUAAAGGUUUUGAGGGAAGAAAAAAUUAAUUUUUAAAAUGCUAAAAGCCUUAAAAUUUGUUGACAUUAUAUGGCAGUUUUAAAUUCUUUAUUUAACAUUCUUCUAAUUUAACAUUAUAUUACAAAAUGGCAAUAUAUGGCAAUUUUAAUUGUAUCCUUAAAAGUUGUCAACAUUAUAUGGCAAUUUUAAUUCAACUAAAUGAGCAGCAAAAGGUAUCAGUUUUUUUGACCAUAUAAAAAAUAAUUUCUAAUAAACUCAAAAUUCUAAAGUUUAGCAUUUUUAUAAUAGUAAUUUGAAAUCAGUGCUUCUAAAUUAAAGUGUUUCUAACAUAAAUGGUAUUAUUUUGAAAUUUGUAUCUGGAAACUUAACGUGUAUUGUUAACUUAACAUGUUAUGUCUUUGGCAAUAUCAUGAAAAAUUUUGAUUUCUAAUAACUCAGAAAACUGAUGGUAUGAGAAUUUACUCCCUUUCGAUUUUGACUAAAUCAGCAAUGGAAAAUUAUUUUCUGAUUGGCUUAUUGUCCCCUUCAAAAUUGUUUACAAAUUUGUUUAAUGUAUUUAUUUAUACUUAAUGGUAUGACAUGAUCAAAAGACAUUGUAAUAUUGUAAUCUAAAGGUGUACUUUAUUUGAUGUAUUUCUGAAAUGCUAACAAACUGUUCAGAAGAUCAAUUUAAUCUCCAGAAGACAUUGUAGUCAUACAGUCUUAAAAAUCUUUUAUAGCAUGAAGGAACUGUGUACUUUAUAACAGCCUCCAGAAAUGCACUAAAAGCUGUUAUUUAUAAAUAUGCUCAGAGUAUGAAGUUAAAAGGGAAGUAUGUAUAUACAAGUAAAUUUUAAGGUAAAAGAAGAAAUAUCUCUAAUAGGCAAAAGCAUUUAAUAGGCGGAAAUAUUAAAAAAAAUAGUACUUGUGUUAUAAAUUAAGCAUUUCCGAGUCCGAAAAAGUCCAUUAAAGAGAAAAAAAAGAAAAUGCAACAUUAAUAAAUUUAGUAUUUUAUUGCUUCUUGAUAAUAUGUAUACCAUAUUUACUGGCAUAUUCCUUCCUUUCCUUUUACUAAUUUUGUCAUGUGAAAAGGGAAAAAUUGUGCAUAAUUUCUGAAGGAUGUGGUUGCAGUAAAAAUAUAACAAAUAAAAAGUAUCCAUGGUAACUAUCACAAUUAUUUGUUUUAAAAAAAACUACACUCCAAUAUGAAUGCAUAGUUGCAUUAAUGUUACCAGUAUCUAAUGUCUUUAUUUCCACUUCCUGUAUUUUGCAUCUCACUUGCUCACUCUAUUGUUCUCCACUGCUACUCUGUAGACCUCAGUCAUUAAAUGUUACUGUCUGUGUCAUCUGCUACACCUUGCAAGUCAUUGCCGUUGUCUUCAUCACCAUUUGGUCCAUCAUGCCAUAUGUUGUGAUUAUCCAAGUGAUCAUGAACUUUAGAUAUCUCCAUUUUCUUGAAGAUCUUCACUAUUAUUGCUGCAUCAGUCAGAACCCAUGCAUCCAAAAUCCACAAACAAAUCAGUAAAAUGAAAACAAUCACAAUGUGGGCAAAUCCAUUUUAAAAGUUAGGGAAGCUCGUCUUCUGAAUGCCUUGUGGAAGAGGAAAAUUAUUUGAGUAUUAAGAAAAAUUUCAUAACUUUGUACUUUUAGUACAAGGAGAAAAAUAUUCAGGUAAAUAAAUAUAUAUAUAUACAUGUUGAUAAGAAAAGGAGAGGUAAAAAUUAGCUAACGCCGUAAAGAACUACCUAAUUCCUGAUAUUACAUGUAAAACAAAGUUAAAACAACAAAAUCUUUUGACCAUCUUUUUAUGUGUAAAAUUUCUCAGUAUUAUGUAAAGGUUUUUUCUCAUACCAAUUUUGAUUUUUUUUGUACAGAUUUUCUAAUUUUUUUUUGUAUAAUAAGUAGUUUUUUUUUUUUUUUUUUUUUUUUGCUUACAAUGUAUUGCUUUAACUUAGAUUCUGUUGUUUUACAUGUAAUAUCAGGAAUUAGGUAGUUCAAAUGUUCUUUACUGCUUUAGCUAAUUUUUACCUCUUCUUUUCUUGACAAUCUAUUUUGAAAUUUGCAGCUCAAUGCACAAUUUUUGACCAACUAGGUCUCACAUUUUUAUGAUUUACUACUAUCUAUCUAUAUAUAUAUAUGUAUAUGCAUGUAGCAUGUCAAUAAAAACACUUAACUGGCUUUUGUUUCCACAACUGUUGGUUAUAGAUAUAUAUUUCAGUUGCAAAAAUAUUUUCAAUGGUGCAGAUAUUAAAGUUUUGGCAUUUUUAAAUUUUAAGAAAAUAAAUUUUUCAAAAAAUUAUAAAAUCUUAACUUAUGCAUUCUUCUGGUUGAAUAUUUAUACAUUCUUCUGGUUGAAUAUGGGAAAAUUUUAUACUCAUUAUAAAAAAUAAAAUUCAAGUUGUAUGAUAGAAUUAAUAGAAAUAUUUUAUUUUGAAGCUGAGAUAAUUUUCAGGGGACAUACACAAUUUAAAAAAUGAAAUGUCUGUAUUUGUAUGUGACUAAAAGUAAGUUAUCAGUUUAAGAAAAUGUUUUUGGUGUUAAUAGAUUAAAUGGCAAGCACAACUAUGCAGAGUAUCAUGAAAAAUAUUGACGAGUAUAAUUUUUUCCAAAAAGGAGAUCUGCAUUUGUAAAAAAAAUUAUUAUAGUAGUUGCAGGUACGUUUUUGGUUUGUACCAUUAGUUUUGAUUUUUCUGAUAAUUAAA